rnacentral:rRNA from 1 species
GACGAACGCUGGCGGCGUGCUUAACACAUGCCAGUCGAACGGAAAGGCCCCUUUGGGGGUACUCGAGUGGCAAACGGGUGAGUAACACGUGAGUAACCUGCCCUUGACUUCGGGAUAACUUCAGGAAACUGGGGCUAAUACCGGAUAGGAAUCCUUGCUGCAUGGUGGGGGUUGGAAAGCUUCGGCGGUUUUGGAUGGACUCGCGGCUUAUCAGCUUGUUGGUGGGGUAGUGGCUUACCAAGGCUUUGACGGGUAGCCGGCCUGAGAGGGCGACCGGCCACAUUGGGACUGAGAUACGGCCCAGACUCCUACGGGAGGCAGCAGUGGGGAAUAUUGCACAAUGGGCGGAAGCCUGAUGCAGCAACGCCGCGUGCGGGAUGACGGCCUUCGGGUUGUAAACCGCUUUCAGCAGGGGCGAAGCUUGUGGUGACGGUACCUGCAGAAGAAGCACCGGCUAACUACGUG